AUCCUUACCUGGCAGGGGAGAUACCAUGAUUAUGAUGGUGGUUUUCCCAGGGCAGGGCUUAUCCAUUGCAUUCCAGAUUCGCUACCCCUGUGGUCUCCCCAACUGUGGGCAACUCGACUGGAUGAUUUGUGGAAUGGGGGGGACUGCAUUCAUGCUCUCCAAUU